UGUGGUGUAGCUCAGUGGUAGAGUACUUGCUUAAUGUGCGAAAGGCCCUAGGUUUGAUCCCCAAUACCACAU
rfam:Mus musculus chromosome 13, GRC primary reference assembly.